rnacentral:rRNA from 1 species
GAUUUCUGGGCUCAAGAAUUUGGCCGGCCACGGUUUCGUGUGUUAGUGCUUUGUUCUGUGUCCAUCCUUCCAAUUGCUAUUGGCUAUUCUUCAUUGAUUGGUCAGUAGUAUUGGAUCUUUUACUUUGAAAAAAUUAGAGUGUUUCAAGCAGGCUUUAUGCUAUGAAUACAUUAGCAUGGAAUAAUAAUUUAGGACUUUGCUCCUAUUUUAUUGGUUUCUAGGGGUAAAGUAAUGAUUGAUAGGGAUAGUUGGGGGUGCUAGUAUUCAUCGGCCAGAGGUGAAAUUCUUGGAUUCGAUGAAGACUAACUUAUGCGAAAGCAUU